AAGAGGAAAACAAGUAGGUGUAAAUCUUUACACUUACAAAACAGUUAAAAGUAUCAAAUAUCGUAUAAUCAAGUUCUUCAGUUAGUUUUUCUGCUGUCGAUGUCAGUUUGUUUGAUCAAAUUAUGAGUUAUUUAUUUGGAAUGUAAUUGAACAGGUUUGAAGUUAUGCUGAAUAAUGCCAUUUACGGUAUUUUCCGUGGUGUGAUGAGGAAGUUGGAGAAUUGUUUUUGGAAGAUAAUGUUAUGAAUGAUUAGUGAAUGUUGUCCUAUGAAGCUUGCAAGCCAAUACAUAUGCUUUAAAAGUUGAGACUAGGAACUACUUUAGCUGUACUUUACUACUGGGAUAGGAACUCGUAGUGGCUCGUUCUUCCUUAUUAAGUGUGUCAGCUCAGUAUGAAGAAUAAUUAAAAUGCUGUGACAUGUUCAUAAUUCAGUUUUAGAGCGACUCUUAAGAGAGAGUAGUCAUUAUAGUCUAUCCACCGGUAUACUUCCUUCGCUUGGAGACAGGAGUACACGGAGAAUCAAGCUCAGAAGUUAUAUCAUUUCUCCUUAUGAUCGUCAUUACAGAUAAUAUUUGAUAAUAUUCUCAACCGUAAAAUACCUUGGCCACGGGCACCAGAAGAAAUAAGCCUGGAAGCAAAAGAUCUAAUUGAUGGACUGUUGACUGAAGAUCCUCAUCAGACUUGGAUCCAGAGGAGCAUCCGAGGUGAACACUUUCAUGUUUCUAGCAUGCUUAUCAGCAUGUAAUCAGGAAACAUAAAUCAUUACCCCAUUUAAAGUUGCUGCAGUGAUGAGUAAAAAUGGAAAGAGAAAGGGUGCUCGUAAACAAAAUGGGAACAUGGAGGGCAAGACAAAUCCAGUGCCCGAAAGGGGAGAUAGAGAUGUGAGUCUUACAGGUGCAAUAAUGGAUCAGAACGGUGACAGCUUGGAGAAACAUAAGAUUGAUUCUGCAAAGGAUGUCUCUGCUAGUGAAUCAUUUCUUAGGAUGGAAGACCACAGAAGACUGACUGAAACACAGUUGAAAAGGUUUAAGAACUCUCAUUUUUUUGUCAGGAUUGCAGAG